GUUCCAGAUUUCUUCCAAAUCGAGAGAUGAUAUUCACGCGAUUCGUCAUCUCUCUCCAGUUUGAAUGAUAUUCACGCUUUUUCAUCCAAAUCUGUUUCAGCAUUUUAGGUUCCACACUUUUGAGUUCCAUAACCUGAUCGAAGACGAUUCUGCCUUCUUUCAGCUCCAUAAUUUUCAUCCGAUUUCAAAUUGCAGACGACAUGGCAACUGAUUCGAUUAUCAGAUUUGAUUUGGAAGUUUUUCCAGAAGAUUGGUGCAUUAUGUGGUACAUGUUGCAGUCCACCAUAUGGUCAAUUGCAAGUUCGGGAAGUAGUUCUGCAAGCUGAUUGGGGUCCAUGAAGGAGAAGGUUGUGAAGUUGAUAACGAAACCAUUGCGUCGGUGUUGAAAAUACGGAGAAAUGUGUCCCCCGUGACUUAAUAAAUUUUGGCAGACAAAAGGAAUAAGAGAGCACUUAGUUCGUUUUGAAGUGCUUGAAGAUUGUAAUUGAACUCCAUGAAUUUUGAUCUGUAAUUGAACUCAAUGAAUUUAAUCUGCUCCGAUUUGUAGCAA